GGAUUGCUCAGCUGGUAAAGCAUAAUAAGACUCUUAAUCUCAGGUUUAUGGGUUUGAACCCCAUGGUGGGACA